ensembl:lncRNA
GAAGAUUGGAUGUCAGGGAGAAGGUCUUUCCAGAGACGGUGGUGAGAUGCUGGAAGCGGAUGCCCAGAGAGCUUGUGGACGCCGCGUCCGUGGCAGUGUUGAAGGCCAGGUUGGAUUGGGCACUCGGCAGCCUAGUCUAGGAUUAGAUAUGAUGCAGAUGGGAUUCACGCAUCUGUUUUGCAGCCAGCUCGAGUGGAGGUCUUGGAGCUCGUGGGCGCCCCAUGCCUGCAUCAGCGUGGGUAGGGUGUGCCCUUCCUGCGCGGUGGGGCUUUGGUGUCCGGGGGCUGACGCUGAGGAGACUGUGUUUCUUCGUUUAUCGGUGGCAGAAAUCCAGCUCUGUCAGCAGAGGACUCCUGCGGCUGGCUGGCCUCAGCCUGAGAUGUUGAUGCUUCCAUCUCCUCAGGUUCUUUCUGCCUGCUCUUCUUAGCCCUGCGCCUGAGAAGUCUGACUGAGUCACAUGCCAGAAGUGGAAGCCGGGAUGGAGUGCCUUGCGAUGCCUGUGACGGGCUGGACUGAGCCCUUGAGGAAGGCACUCCAGGGAUGGCUGGCAGCAGACUGAAAGGACAGAGCAGGAGGGGUCCGCCUGAGUGGAUGAUGGCUUUGGGGCCGCAUCCUGCAAGCCGGAGCCAGGACCCUUGGCUGCAACGCAGCCUUCCCCACAGACAGCUCACCGGCUGCCCCGUGGCUCUCCCCCGUGGGAUCCAGAAACAGGGACCCUUUGGGGCUAGGGAAUGGGCUCUCGUUGGCUCAGUCAAUCACCCCCAUGCACAUGCCAAGCCAGAGCCUCCAGCCUCACCUGGACGUAGAGCUCUCCUUGCGCAGUAAGCUCCUUAUCCUUCGGAGUUUUCCUCCAUCUAGACUGUCCGAGCUCAAGCGUUUGAUGAAAGUUGGCUUGCCAGCAAAUCUCACUGGGAUUGGGAAGGCAGAGGAGACUCACCAUCAACCCUUUGGCUCACUUACAAGGGGCGCUCAGGCCUGUUCCCAGAACAUGCGUGAGGGCCGCUCUGCUCCCCCCACUGCUGACAUCUGUGCCACCCGCGGACCCUCCCUGAAACCAUCUCUGGCCCCACUCCUCCUCUCUGCCAUCUUGGGACUCUCUUUUGGGAGUGCAUUAGUGACGCUGGCUUUGGGAAAGCGGAGCUGGGUGGUGACGAUGAGCUGACAGGGUGACUUUUGGGGACCAUAUCCUUCUGUUGGGGGAGGGCGGGGCCUGAGGUGCCGAGGUGCUCCUGCCAUAGCCAGGGAUGGGGGCACGUCACAGCCAGCGCCUUGGUUUUGGAGAGGCCAACAAUUCCUCGUGGGAAGAGGCCGUGCUGAGCUGG